rnacentral:rRNA from 1 species
CCCUUAGAUGUUCUGGGCCGCACGCGUGCUACACUGAGUGGAUCAGCGGGUCAGGUUGCGCGAAAGUGUUUCCUAAUCUUUAAAUCCGCUCGUGAUGGGGAUUGACGGUUGCAAUUUUCUGUCAUGAACGAGGAAUACCUUGUAAGCGCGGGUCAUCAUCCCGCGCUGAAUACGUCCCUGCCCUUUGUACACACCGCCCGUCGCUCCUACCGAUUGAGUGGUCCGGUGAGGCUUUGGGAUCUGAGCGGAAAGAGCGUUUCGCUGUUUCUGCUCGGAGAACUCAGUCGAACCUUAUCAUUUAGAGGAAGGAGAAGUCGUAACA